rnacentral:rRNA from 1 species
UCUACUGAAAGAGUUUUCGGACAAUGGAUGUAGAGGAAAGUGGCGGACGGGUGAGUAACGCGUGAGGAACCUGCCCUUCAGAGGGGGACAACAGUUGGAAACGACUGCUAAUACCGCAUACGAUCUAAUCUCGGCAUCGAGGAUAGAUGAAAGGUGGCCUCUAUUUAUAAGCUAUCACUGAAGGAGGGGAUUGCGUCUGAUUAGCUAGUUGGAGGGGUAACGGCCCACCAAGGCGAUGAUCAGUAGCCGGUCUGAGAGGAUGAACGGCCACAUUGGGACUGAGACACGGCCCAGACUCCUACGGGAGGCAGCAGUGGGGAAUUUUGGACAAUGGGGGCAACCCUGAUCCAGCCAUGCCGCGUGCAGGAUGAAGGCCUUCGGGUUGUAAACUGCUUUUGUCAGGGACGAAAAGGAUCGUGAUAAUACCAUGGUCUGCUGACGGUACCUGAAGAAUAAGCACCGGCUAACUACGUG